rnacentral:misc_RNA from 1 species
AGUGCAGAAACAAGACCUGGUAGCUCACAUUUAUCUCGGUUUGCUGAACCUUUGUCUGAUAAUUCAGUGGCAUGGGGUGCAAUGGGAACAUCUGAUAAGUUGGGAGUAACGUCCUCUAAGAAUGAUGGGUUUUCUCUGACUUAUGGAGAUUUUCCAACACUUAGUUCAGAAAAAGACAGUUCUAGAAAGAAUGCANNNNAGACAGUUCUAGAAAGAAUGCAGACUCUCAAGAUCAUGGUUCUCAUGGUCAUCUGGACUCAUCUGCUGGAGUAGCAUCUGGGAAGGAGGGUACUGGGGAUUCUGCAGGUGAUGGUUUUGUGCAUACGAAUGUCAAGACUGGAGCUGAAAGUCCCUGGAGAAGAGAGAAUUCUCUAUAUGGUGAAGAUGGGGCCAGGGCUAAUGUGGAGAAGUGGCAUGCUGAUCACCAGCCAUAUUCUAAUUCUAGUAUCCCUCCUCAGCAUUAUGAUUCUUGGCAUGGUCCUCCUGUAAAUAAUCAUCCAGGUGGGGUUUGGUUUAGAGGACCUCCAGGAGGUCCACCAUUUGGGUCCCCAGUUGCACCUAGUGGCUUUCCCAUAGAACCAUUUCCUUAUUACCGUCCACAGAUGCCCCCUCCUGCACUUGCUGGUCGACAACCAGUUCCUCCACCAGGAGCCGGACCCAGAGGCCCCCACCCAAAAAAUGGGGAUAUGUACCGACCUCAUAUGCAUGAUGCUUUUAUGCGCCCAAGCAUGC